rnacentral:lncRNA from 1 species
CAUAAGUGCUACCACGGCAAAACCAGAAGAGUCUACAGUGUGACCCAGCAUGCCGUGGGCAUCAUUGUAAACAAGCAAGUUAAGGGCAAAAUUCUGGCCAAGAGGAUCAGUGUGUGGAUUGAGCACAUCAAGCACUCAAAAAGCAGAGACAGCAUCCAAAAGCAGGUGAAAGAGAAUGAUAAGAAGAAAAAGGAAGCCAAAGAUAAGGGCACCUGGGUGCCAUCCAGAGAAGCACACUUUGUGAGGACUAACUGAAAAGAGCCGGAGCUGUUGGAGCCCACUGCAUGUGAAUUCAUGGCAUAG